rnacentral:rRNA from 1 species
GACGAACGCUGGCGGCGUGCUUAACACAUGCAAGUCGAACGGAAAGGCCCUGCUUUUGUGGGGUGCUCGAGUGGCGAACGGGUGAGUAACACGUGAGUAACCUGCCCUUGACUUUGGGAUAACUUCAGGAAACUGGGGCUAAUAUCGGAUAGGAGCUCCUGCUGCAUGGUGGGGGUUGGAAAGUUUCGGCGGUUGGGGAUGGAUUCGCGGCUUAUCAGCUUGUUGGGGGGGUAGUGGCUUACCAAGGCUUUGACGGGUAGCCGGCCUGAGAGGGUGACCGGCCACCUUGGGACUGAGAGACGGCCCAGACUCCUACGGGAGGCAGCGGUGGGGAAUAUUGCACAAUGGGCGGAAGCCUGAUGCAGCAACGCCGCGUGCGGGAUGACGGCCUUCGGGUUGUGAACCGCUUUCGCCUGUGACGAAGCGUGAGUGACGGUAAUGGGUAAAGAAGCACCGGCUAACUACGUG